CAAAACAAACUCCCAAAAACAAACAAACAAACAAACAAAACCACCACCACCACCCCCCAAACUAUCUGUUAUACAUUGGUCCCACCAGCAUUAUGUACUGUCUGACCAUGCAGCACAGCUUGUCUCUGACAGUUUGGUUCUAAGAGGAUUUUCUUAGUAGAUGGAAAAUUCCUUUGCACCUCAAUCUAGAGGAGUUCAAGCCCCCAGUGUCCACAUCACAGAAGACAACACAGCUCCAUAGGUGGUCCAGUGUUUGUUCUUGCUGAAUAUAAACCACUCUGCUACAUGGGUUCACGGAAGCAAGAUGAGGAUGACUUUAAAGGCUUGGGGUUUAGGAACAGAGGAUGUUAGGACUCCUUUUUUGCUUUACCCAAAAUUAAAUGCAAUGCUUGAUCCUGGGAUCAAGGACCUGAACCUCAGGCUCUCCUUUCCUAUGCAAGUUCUUUGCUUACUGGUGUUAUUAAGAACAUACCUCCAUGAGUUAUGCCAUUUCUUAUGUAAUCAGCAGAAACAGACUAUUUUCUCAAGGUCAUUAGUUGCAAUAGAGCCCCAAUAUUCAAUGGUUUUGGGCAUAUGUUCAUUUAAGAUAGAAGAAGUAUAUAUUGAAUUACUCCUUUCCUAAUUCUAGCUCGUAGAAAGUGAACAUUCAGUUCUGAAUUUGAGGAAAUCAACAGCUUUGUAGUCUAAAUACAAGCCAAAGUUUUAUCCAUGAUGUUGACCAGAGUAUUUUCCAUUAGCUUUGGUACAAACCCAGAACUACUCAGUUAAGAUGCAGUGAUUUCCAGUAGAGUUGAUUUACACAGUUUUAACCAAUAUCUGUCUCCAUCUCAGUAUGCCACACAGCUGAACAAAUGUUGCUGAAACACUGUUCUGCAGGAGGCUGAAUAUCCUCUCUUCCAGUGGAAGGUCCAGCCUGCUGCUCACUGCAGUCUCCAAGAAGUUUUCCAUGGCUUCAGGAUGCACUGGAGUUGGCCAAGAGUCUGUUCCUUUUAAGCAGCAAACUGGUUUAGCUAGCACAACCAGCGCUUUGCAGACAACUCAGCAAUUAUGGGAUCAUAUAGCUACAGUGCCUGCAGAUAGAUCCAGAGCAUGAGAGUGAAGACUCGGACCAAGAUAUGUAGCCAUUUCAUAGAGCACCACCUUACUAGUUCACAGGUAUUUCCUGCAGCUUGUGUUGUACUCCCAGAUUAUUUUCACGUAACUCAUCUAGACUUUAGAGUGGUGAGGCACUGAUUCUGACCAAAUGGUCUGCAACGGGAUUUUCUCCUGGUAAAGUGUUUGUCCCCAGGCCAAUAAAAAUGAAGCUUUUCUGUCAA